GACGAACGCUGGCGGCGUGCCUAAUACAUGCAAGUAGAACGCAGUUGCGAACGUGCGAUUAACGCGUAGGUAACUGCCUGGUAGUGGGGGAUAACUAUUGGAAACGAUAGCUAAUACCGCAUACUACCAGAUGGACCUGCGUUGUAGUAGCUAGUGGGUGGGGUAACGGCUCACCAAGGCAACGAUAUAUAGCCGACCUGAGAGGGUGAUCGGCCACAAUGGGACUGGGUACAGGCCCAGAAUCGUACGGGAGGCAGCAGUAGGGAAUCUUCGGCAAUGGACGGAAGGGUGACCGAGCAACGCCGCGUGAGUGAAGAUGGUUUUCGGAUCGUAAAGAACUGUUGUAAGGGAAGCGGUAACUUACCAGAAAGGGACGGCUAAGUACGUGCCAGCAGCCGCGGUAAUAC
rnacentral:rRNA from 1 species